rnacentral:rRNA from 1 species
AUUGAACGCUGGCGGCAUGCCUUACACAUGCAAGUCGAACGGCAGCACGGGAGCAAUCCUGGUGGCGAGUGGCGAACGGGUGAGUAAUAUAUCGGAACGUGCCCAGUCGUGGGGGAUAACGCAGCGAAAGCUGUGCUAAUACCGCAUACGAUCUAUGGAUGAAAGCGGGGGAUUGCAAGACCUCGCGCGAUUGGAGCGGCCGAUAUCAGAUUAGCUAGUUGGUGGGGUAAAGGCCCAACAAGGCGACGAUCUGUAGCUGGUCUGAGAGGACGACCAGCCACACUGGAACUGAGACACGGUCCAGACUCCUACGGGAGGCAGCAGUGGGGAAUUUUGGACAAUGGGCGCAAGCCUGAUCCAGCAAUGCCGCGUGCAGGAUGAAGGCCUUCGGGUUGUAAACUGCUUUUGUACGGAACGAAACGGUCCUUUCUAAUACAGAGGGCUAAUGACGGUACCGUAAGAAUAAGCACCGGCUAACUACGUGCCAGCAGCCGCCGUAA